UGUGGGGGAAAAAAAGAAUUCCUCUGACACAACAGGGCCAAGCGCAACAAAUACGCCUAGGUCUAAAAUCUCAGGAGAGUAUGGGCCUGAUGAAGAGGAUGGGUAAGGUAGAUAAGGUAGAAGAGUAUGGUUCUGAUGAAGAGGAUGGAUAAGGUAGAAGAGUAUGGGCCUGAUGAAGAGGAUGGAUAAGGUAGAUAAGGUAGAAGAGUAUGGGCCUGAUGAAGAGGAUGGAUAAGGUAGAAGAGUAUGGGCCUGAUUAAGUGGAUGGAUAAGGUAGAAGAGUAUGAGCCUGAUGAAGAGGAUGGGUAGAUAAGGUAGAAUCCACAUAGUGCUGUUGUCAACCCUGGAAACAUUAGUGUUGUACCAGCCUGUAAGAUAAGAUGCAUUAGCUUCUGGUGCUCCCACACUGAGUAACCAGCUUUAGCAGGGGAUAUGAGUCCCAACCUGUGUUGACUCACUUGAGUUUUACCCAACUGGUUAAAAUGGUUAGGGGUAGACAAACGAUUGUGAAAAAUGUUUGGUUUGCUUUG
ensembl:lncRNA